GGACAGCCUACAUGCUUCACUCGAUGCUCUGAUCCUGCAAACUCUGGACAGCGUGCUGGAGGUGCUGAUGCGUGGUGCUUCGCCGAGGUCCGGCAUCCUGACAGCGGAGAAAAUCUUGCAGGUCCUGCUGCCCUUCACGGCAUCCCUGGACGUUACUGUGCGCCGGAGGGCUGUGGGGAGGAUUGUCAU